UCAUACUUUCAGCCAUUAUUUGUAAUUAUUACUCACUGAGUCGGAGUACUCACAUUACUCCCUGCACCAUGUGUGCUGAUUCAGGUAUAUCAGAGUCCGCACUUGAGCGCUGAUUCCUUCCAGGCUAGGCAGGGAUUUGUAGUUACGAGGUGGUCAACUUGGUGCUGUUCGUUAUUCAGUCAUUUUUGCAGUUGCUGGAACGACAGUUGAUUAUGCUACCAUCAAAAUAAAACCAGCCUUGAGAAGUUUCUAUGACUCUAUUGUCAAUAGGAAAGAUGAUUGGUUAAAAUUGUCUGAGUGGUCGCCAAUCAAAGUGCUUGAUGAGGAAGCUCUUGCAGCAAAACGUGCCCGGGAAGAGCAACUAUACAGAAGUGUCCACAAUCUGAACAAGGAGGAGUCCUGAUAUUUAAGUACCUUUUUGCAAGAGGCGCUGCCAGAAGUUGAGAAGGAAAGGGUCUACUUCCAUUUCCAUGCCCUUCAGGUUAAAGACGAGCAGAAAAUUCAAGCAUUAGUAUUCAACAUUUCGUGUGCCUCCUGAAUCUCAUCGUGGCAAAGGGGUGAAACUUCUAAUUCGUGUGUCCUGCAUAUUUACUGAUGCUAUGGAUAUGGCAAUAAUUCUUCGCUUAUACCACAAUUUGUUAGUAAUACAAUCGACAUUUCAUUUUCUUUUGAGUUAUCAAACUCGACUAAACUUAGUAAAUGAACGUUUUGAGUACAAUGCUCAAGUUUUUGAGCAAGGGACCAUUUUAUUGUGAUAGUUAAAAAAUCAUAAUCGCUGUUGGAUUAUGCUGAUGAUCAUGCAUUAAGCUUCUGCGCUUC